CAGCGUCUCAUAUCGGCUUCCCCAUUCCUACGGAUCGAAGGACAGAAAAGUCAAGAUGAUUGUAAACCAUGGAAACUCAUGGGCAGUUACUGAUGUCGCUAGUCUGAGACUAGUCGAGAAACUCAAGAACUCCUCCUUCCUCAAGAAAACGUGGAAAACCUAUCCUACAGAUCUGGACUUUGGAUUUCUGACUGUACAGCUGUCACCAAACUGCAUCAAUUUCUCCAGCAUUUGGUACUUUCAAGUAUGGUCAUAGAGAGUAGAGUUGGUUAUGGUAUUUAGCAACAUACAAAUAGCAACAAUACAAUAC